rnacentral:lncRNA from 1 species
CAGCUCGGGAUCUGCAGCAGAUCAGCAGAACAUGAAGCGGGCCGCAGAAUGAACCAACGGCGUGUGUCAAACCUAUGUUUCUUGAUUAACGUUCCUUGAGCUCCGUCUGUCGUGGACGGUGACCGGCGACAGGAGGUGGUGCCUCUGGCGGGAGGUGAGCAGCAGCCUGAUGGAGUACGGAGGCGACGGCGGUGUGGAAAUCAGUGAGAGACUAGGAAUGGCUGAAUGGUUCAUCAAUAAGCAAACACACGAUUUAGGAAUUCACUCGUGGGUUGUAUAUUUGGCUCCACA